GAACAUCGACACUCGAACAGUACCGAGAUUACCGCGAGCAGCUUCAGCUGGCCGAUAAAUUGUCGGAGUUUGUUAUUUUUUCUGUCAAAUUGAAGACGUUUCUUUUCCACAUACAGCACGAGCGGAAUUUCUUUUUCAUCAAACUUGAGUCGCACGAUUGUGAUUUGUUGCAUCGACGUUGAGCAGGUCAGAAGUGCGCCAGAUCGUUCCGAAUUGAAAUGGUUAAAGAGAAGCAGACGAAAGGAGCAGGAGAAGAAAAUAAACCAGUUUCAGCAGCAAAAAUAGAUGAAAACGAACUUAGGAAAGCAAAGAGGGACGAAGGAAAAAGUCAUGAAGCAACGAAGUCCGCAAUCGAUUUAGAAAAAAAGUUUGGCGAUAAUGAUUCACCUCAGACGAGUGAAAUCUCCGGAGGUGAAGCAGGAGAAAAUCGUAUUUCACCUGCGGAUACAAGAAUCGGCGGCAUAGAAGGAGGUGCGACGCAUUCCACACUGAUAAUUCUGAAUGGGUACGGAACAAAGUUGAUCGAAAUGAAAGGUCCCGGUACGAAUCAUUGGCAUGUGGGGAUGAAGGAAACGGCUGCUAGAAUAAACGGAAUGAUAGCGAUUGCGAAGAAGGAUUUGAAUAUUUCCGAGUCGACGCCAUUAGAUUGCACGGGUCUUGCCUUGAGCGGCUGUGAACAAGAAGAAUCAAAUCGUCAUCUAGUGGAAAUCCUUCUGAAAGAGUUUCCAACCGCUUCUCGAAGGUAUUUUGUGGGUUCAGAUACUUUGGGCAGUAUAAAAACAGGCCUUCGAAAUGGCGGUGUGGUCCUAAUCGCAGGAACCGGGAGUAACGCCCUCCUCGUAAAUCCUGAUGGGAAAACUCACGGUUGUGGAGGAUGGGGACACGCCAUGGGAGACGAAGGCAGUGCGUAUUGGAUAGCUCACCGCGCAACGAAAUAUGUCUUCGACGAAAUGGACAAUUUCUCAAAGGCUCCGCACCCGAUUACCUAUGUUUGGCCUACUAUAAGGAACUUUUUUCACAUCGCCGAGAGGAAUGAUCUCCUUCCACACCUCUAUGCCAAUUUCGACAAGAGCAAAUUCGCCAUGUUAGCUAAAGAACUUGCCAAAGGCUGCGAUCAUGGAGACCCACUGUGCAUUUUACUCUUUGAAGAUACAGGGAAAGUCUUGGCACGUUAUGUUCAGGCCGUAGCCGGAAAAGCUCAAAAUGAUUUAAUUUUGGCUACCGGGGGACUGAAAAUUGUUUGCGUCGGUUCGGUAUGGAAUUCUUGGAAGCUAAUGAAAAAGGGAUUUGAGGAUCAAAUUCACAAUACUCCGGGCGUUGAUGAACUGAGCCUCUUACGACUGAAGACUUCCGCGGCCAUUGGGGCUUGUUAUUUGGCUGCGGAUUCGAUCGCCUGCGAUACAUUGAAAAAGACGUACGACGACAACAUCGAUGUAUUCUAUCACUAUAAACGUGCAAACUUCCCGGCGUCACCGGAACGGGAAUAACCCCUGAUUUUCAUAUCGGGCCACUCCAAGUUUCGAAAUAUCAUCUCCGCGAGAUAUUCUCUUUGGGACUGGUGGAAAACGUGAUUUAAUUCAAUGCCGUUGACGUGUUGCCAUUGUCAUAUUUCAACUUGUAUAGACCGGCACACCCGUAGCUGUUUGAAAAAAAGUGAAGAAACAAAAUGUAAAGCGAUGAAGUUUAACAACGGCGAAUCUAACCGAAACGUUUGUACUGAUAAAUUGCGAUGUGAGAAAUAACCUGACAUUAAGUGUCGGAAUCAAAAAUCAAAUAAUGGCCCUGUCAUCCGCUGUCCUCGAAUUAUUCAGCCGGGAUUGGAAUCCGUGAAGCCCGCAGUGUAAGAUCUUCGGAAGUUUUUUAUACAGUCUUUUUCAACUGUAGAGUACGCAUGGUGUUUUCGUUUUUAGGUUCGAAAUUCCAACGCCGUGAUUCAGUCGCCAGACAAUAAAUUCCAUCAUGGGCCUGGUUUUCGGUGUGAUUCUCAUGCCCUUUAAGAUUUUUUGGUCCGGCGCAGUCCUGGUUUACGAUAUUCUGAAUUUUUUAUUAUUAUUGUUACUCACGGCCGGGACAAUUUGGCUGACAGUUAUAUUCGUAAAUUUUAUUACAAGAAGUAUCGAUAGUUACCUACAUGAUAGCGAGAACUGUGGUUGAAACAAACAAAUUACUUAAAUCAUCAAAUCAAACAGUCAAAUGUAACGAGGAAAGGUGUAUGAGAAUCAAAAUAAUUCAUCACACGCAUAUAUUCAGUGUAAUAUUCAGUAACUAAAAAAAUAUAGUAAUGCCCGUUAUUAUUUAUCACAACUCACGACUUUUUUUUUGUUUUACGGUUUGCGUUAUUACUAUUUGUUAUACAUAACAAUUUUCAUCGUUUCCACCAUUUUCAUCAUUUUCACUAGUAUUAAUUUCACAAUCUCCAUCGUUUUCACAAUUCCCGUCACUUUCACGAUAUUCACGUUUUCACCACAUACAUUGUAUGUAUACAUUACGUACGUCAAGUCGACUGUUUGAUAUAAAAUAUUACUGUAAUUAUUGUUCGUGUUGUUGUUAUUAUUACCACCAUCGUCGUUUUUUAAAGCCCCAACGCGUUUUGAUUCCUAAAGGUAGAUUAGAGGAAAAACAUAUACUUAGCACCGUCAAAAACGAAACAAUACAUACAUGUAUACUAUAACUAUACCUAUUUUUAUAUGUACAAUAAUUAUUUAAUUAUAUGAUGAGCGCAACUGCAGGGCUAUGCACCGUACGCUAUAGAAGUUAUGUAUAUUUACAUACGAGACAUUUUCUCAAAAAAUCUCUCUGUUGUAGCAAUAGUUGACUUAUUUACUUGAAUUUCGAUCGAAACAAAAAGAAAAAUUAAUAGAACGAAUAAGAGUAUUCAACAUAUCAAGAGUAAGAAACAUAAUAAUUAUGGCGAUCGAAUAUAUCUAUAACUGUACAUAAUAUGUUAAUUAAUCUCUUUGGCAACGUUUUGUGGCUCGGUUCUCCUUGCGAUUUUCAUUUUUUGUAUGUUCAGUUAACGUUAGUCGGGCGUACAGAGAGGCCAGUUUCCACAUAUUGUCCCUGUAUGUAAACUUGAAGAAAGAAUAAAUAUACAUAGAUUCGUUUGGAAUUACCA